GCAGUGGUAGGUCAGUGGUUAAGGUGUUGGACUACUGAUCGGAAGGUUGCGAGUUCAAAUCCCGGUGCUACCGCU